rnacentral:tRNA from 1 species
GGGGGUAUGGUAUAAUGGGAUUACGUUAGGUUUGCAACCUAAAGAUACCAGUUCGAUUCUGGUUACCUCCA